rnacentral:rRNA from 1 species
UACGUAGGGUGCGAGCGUUAAUCGGAAUUACUGGGCGUAAAGCGUGCGCAGGCGGUUUUGUAAGCCAGAUGUGAAAGCCCCGGGCUCAACCUGGGAAUGGCAUUUGGGACUGCAAGGCUUGAGUGCGGCAGAGGAGACGUGGAAUUCCUGGUGUAGCAGUGAAAUGCGUAGAUAUCAGGAGGAAUACCGAUGGCGAAGGCAGGUCUCUGGGCUGACACUGACGCUCAUGCACGA